UACGUAGGGACCGAGCGUUGUCCGGAAUCAUUGGGCGUAAAGAGCGUGUAGGCGGCCACUUAAGUCCUGCGUGAAAUCUUGCGGCUCAACCGCAAGCGGUCGUGGGAAACUGGGUGGCUAGAGUGCGGGAGAGGAGAGUGGAAUUCCUGGUGUAGCGGUGGAAUGCGCAGAUAUCAGGAAGAACACCCGUGGCGAAGGCGGCUCUCUGGAACGCAACUGACGCUGAGACGCGAAGGCAUGGGGAGCGAACGGG
rnacentral:rRNA from 1 species